rnacentral:lncRNA from 1 species
AUGUUGAGACUUCUGCUGCUGUUAUGGGUUUCCAAUUACAUUGAAACCAUCCCUAUACAUGUGGCAGGAAAAAAGGGAGGCGGCAUCAUCCUGCCGUGUGAAUUUAAGGCCAGAGAGAUUUUUCAUAUUCGUUUGAACAGACCAAAACCCUUUGAAGGAGAAAUCUUUGUUUAUGAUAAGAAAUACUGCAGUAAGCGAAUAUGUAAAAAAGGAGCAUGUGACGUCGUCAUCAAUGAUCUGAGACUGAGUGAUGCUGGAAAAUACAUUUUAAAUGUCUAUUACAAUAAUGCUAACUCAGUGCUGGAGCCACACAUCAGGACGUACCAACUUCAUAUUUAUGAUGAUAUUUCUGUGAAAAUCGGUGAGGAGCUGAAGUUGGAUGUUCUGCUGCCAAAUGCUCGUCAAGUUAUGCAUCAAAACAUAAGCAGCACAGAAUGGAAGAAGGUGUGGAAGAGAGACAGCAAGUCAAGGGCUAAUAUCACACGCGGUCGACUGAACGACAGUAAUGGGACUCUGAGCAUUAAAAAGUUUACGGCUGAUGAUGCAGGAACAUACAGAGUUCUGGGCUUUGAAGGAGAAAUCUUGAUCACAGUGACAGUCACAGAUGAGAAAUCAAUAUCCUCCACAGAAUCAAAGGGAAAUCUGAACUGCGCGGAUGAUGACAAAGAACGUAAUCACUGGGGAUUGUUCGGGCCGGCGGGACUGUUUGUAUCGGUUGUGUUUACGCUGCUGGUUAUGAUUCUGAUUGCUAUCAUCAAAAAGAUGCAGUGA